rnacentral:lncRNA from 1 species
GAUGUUGGUGAACGCGGUACUAUCGAUAAUACUAUCGUAUUUUUGCAAUUCUAUUGCAAUUAUUAUUAUUUCAAUUCAAUUAAAUUAUAGCAUUGAAGUACCCUACAGAAAAUAUGUCUAAUUUUUUUAAAACAGAUCCCUAAGCGUUUUUCUUAAAACCCGCGUUCAUAAGCAAAAGCUUCAUGAAAGUGAACUUCACCGAGAAGAACAAGAUUAAAGAGAGCAAUAGUAAACAACAAGUGUCGUCGUCGAUAAGCGUAAUGCGAAGUAGUAAAAGUAAACGCAUCAUCAGUUUAUCUAGAAAAGAUAACAUUGAUUCCCGGGAUGAUAUUCUUUCGAAAAGUGGACUACAGUUCUGUCGAAAAGCCCAACGGCUUCAUUAAGUCGACGAUUUCCUCAGUGACGGACAUGGCGACAUGAACUCAUAAUAACUUGAAGCUCACCCAAAUUGAUAGCAAUCCAGCGGACUUAAGCGCAGUGAUCUAAAGACUCAAGAUAAAGAAUUCGAGACGUUUGAGACAUAUUCAAAGCCUUUGGUGAGCUGUAUUCCUUACGUAUUCACAUCGUGACUUUGGCUUUGUUGACUAAAUCUCCAAGUAGAGUCCGAAAGCGCCUUCAACACUUUUAGAGCCAGUACUCAUUUCUACUGCCGUCAAUUGGUGCUUGAGUAGAGCGCCAAAGAUAAACAACCUGGGCGUGGAGGAGCAUUGC